AAAACAGCUCAAAGCGGGCAGGUCAGCCGUGAGCAGGAGACGGCACAGACCGGGAGGAUGGCUUGAGAAGCAACGCAGGGCCGCUUGGCAGAGGGAGAGCAGCUGGGAGCCGAGGGAGCAGAAGGUGGCUCUGGACCCGGAACCAGAGACUCCGCCCACUCCAGGGAGGGCCAGAGGGCCCAGCCCAGGGGCUCCGGCCUGCCCUCCGUCCCCACCACCCUGCUGGACGCUGUGGAGGGAGGUGUCCCGGCAUCCUGGCAGUGAGGAUGGUGGCUAAGACCCUCAGACUUGGAGUCUCACAGCCCCAGGUUCAAACCCAGCCCCUGCCACUUGCCAGCUGGAGAGCCGGACAAGGGACUUCGCCUCUCUGAGCUUCUGUUUCCUCCUCCAAAAAAGGGGGGAUGACAAGAACCUUUUCUCAGGGAGCUAUUAUGAGGUUCAGGGAGCUUUUGUGUGAAGCGCAAAGCAAGCACACCAAGAACACUGACGCUAGAAGGUGGCACGCAGAGGGUUUGAUCCUGGCCGUGCCUUGAAUCUGCUCACUAAUGCCGGGGACCUUGGACUUCAGGAAAAGUAAAUAUAACAAGAAGCAACAACCACCACCACUGUACCACUAAUCACCAUCUGGAACUGCUGGGUAUGGUUGAACAGGCUGUGCACUGCCCAACUGCAAAGGGCACUGCGUACCCAGCCUAUGACAAAUAUGGCGCCCCCUGGAGUUGGACAAUGCCGUGCCGCCACUGCCACCUAACACUGACCAAAUGCCUGCUGUGAGUGCCUUGUGCCGUUUAAUCCCCCAACGAGGAAGGUACGAUACUCCCAAUUUUACAGGUGAGGAAAUGACACCAAGAGGAAGAGCAACUGACCCGGGGAACCAGGAUCGCCAUCCACAUCUGUGAGACUCUGACGCCAAGCUCUUAACCACUGCAUUAAAGGAAUGGGCCGUGAACUCAUAGGGUCUGGCAUGAAGCCUGGCUGAUGUGGAACCAAGGGGAUUCUGGUGUACAUGUCACUACUAUGUCCUUACCAUUUACUGGGGGAGGGGGUGGGUGGCAGAUUUUUAGUCCAAUUCUCGCCUUCUCCCAUUUUACAGAUGUGAAAAUUGAGGCUUGGGAGCAAACAUCUCUUCACAGAGUCACAGAGUCUGAGGCUCAACUUCCCUUUGCUUCGUCCCAGCCCAAGAGGUGGGGUGGGGGUGGUUUAAGGAUGCAGCUCUGGAGUUGGAUGAUUCCCUGACUAGGUAGAUUGUUGUUCUUCUGAGCCUCGGUUUUCCUAUGCUGUAAAAUGGGCUAUUGGGAGGUUUAAACAAGACAAUAGCAAAUACUCAAAAAUCUCAGUGAUUAUUUGUGCCAUGAUGCAAAUACAUUGGGCGUAGGACCAUUUUUGUGGUCCUUUCUCCUUUCCUAUUCGCUCUCUCCUUGCCGCUAUACAGUUUUUUUUCCUCUCCCUGAAAUACCAGGGAUUAGUAUAUCUAACCCCAGGAGGAGAAGGGUUCCCAGCCCCUCCCCCUCCUCGCAGCUACAGAAUACGCAGGCCUGGCAUUCCCAGGGCAUAUGGGUGGCCAGUGAAGAGAAGCCUGGUUCUUGGAAUAACAACAACAAACACAAUUAGGGACCAGGGCCCUUGAAGCUUUUCCGGAGACGAGAUGGCUCAGGCCCAGCUGCCCUCAGGCAGCCCUUGAAAUGCCAGAGAGUUCAAGAGGCCUGCCAGGCAGGCAGCUACCACGGCCCCUUUCAGGGUGGUGAAACGGGGCUGUCAGAGCCUUCAGUCACUCAGAGCUGCGAUGCCAAGACUCCGACAUGACGCAUUAGCCACAGGGGACACGGGUUCGAGCCCUGGUCCGGGAAGAUCCCA